UUGCUGAUGGUCCAGUGGUUAAGACGUGGCACUUUCACUGCCAUGGGCCUUGAGUUCAAUCCCUGGUCAGGGAA
rnacentral:tRNA from 1 species